AGUAGUCGGUACAUCAUAAAAAAUAUGGGGGCUAGGGUGGGAUAAAGAUGCUCUAGCAAUACUAUGAACAACUUUAUUUGUUUGCCUUCUAACAUACGACACAACAAAGUCGUUUCUAGAAAGUACGAGACUUCUACAAUGAGAAGCAAUGUCACCUUACUCGUUAGCAAGAGUAGAGGUGGUGUGGAGCGCAUCAAAUAAAACUUUGGAAUCAGUUUCGAACAUAACAUCUCACAUGCCAUUUGUGAUGUCCACCUUAAUAGCUUCCAGUAAGCCUAAUGAUUCAGCUUCAAGAAUGUUGUAGAAGAUGCAAAGUGAUAUGAUUUUCAUAGCAAGAAUAGGCAUGUAAGAGUCUCGAAAACACAUUGUAUCUCAUAAUGGAAUUACCGUUGAAAGAGGCCGCAUCAACAUUACACUAGAUCAUAUCUGAUGGCGGUUUGAUCCAAGAUUGUUCCGUAUGAUCACUUAUGGACCAUACUUUUCCUCUUUGCAUACAUCCCCAUUCAACUUUGGGAAGCUAUUAAUACCCUUAAUGUUGUAAAAACAUUAGUUGGGGAAAAAAGGUCAAUUAUGAUAAAAAAAAAUAAAAAUACAAUACUAUUUGUAUUUUAACUAUGUGUUUAACUCCACUUUUAUCAUCAUGUUUCAGAGAUUUACUUUUUUCUAC
rnacentral:lncRNA from 1 species